rnacentral:tRNA from 1 species
GAAUUGGUCGUAUGGUUAGGAUAUCGGCCUUCCAAGCAGAUGUUCCGGGUUCAAUUCCCGGACGGUGCA